AUGGGCCACUUAGUUAAUUUCUUAACGUCAUAUGAACUAAACAGGGCAGAAGAUAAUAAGCAAGAGGUGCUGAAAAUCAUACUAAACACCAUGAGCUCCACUGAUCUACCUCAAAAGCUGGAGCUUGUUGACACACUGCAGUGUAUUGGGGUGGACUAUCACUACCGACAGGAGAUUGAUGAAUUGCUGCGUGAUAUAUAUGGUGACAAGCAUGAAAUUCAUGACCUUUAUACAGCUGCCUUGCGGUUUUACCUGCUUAGGAAACAUGGCUACCCUGUCUCUUCUGAUGUGUUUACCAUGUUUGUUGACGGGAACAGAAUUAUUGGGAGCACUGAUGCUAUAACUUUGUUGGUUCUCUACAACGCUGCACAUCUGAGAACCCAUGGAGAAAAAAUACUUGAUGAUCUUAUGACUUCGACAAAGCAGCUCCUAAAAUAUAUGGUGAACCAGUUGGAUCCGACAUUGUCACAAGAAGUGCAAUACACCCUAGAAACUCCCCUUUUCAGGAGGCUUCACCGAAUUGAAGCAAAGAGCUACAUCUCAACAUAUGAGAAAAAGCACACACGAAACAAGACCAUAUUGGAGUUUGCAAAGCUGGACUACAAUAUCGUGCAAAGUUUGUACUGUGACGAGCUUAAAGAUCUUACCCUAUGGUGGAAUGGAUUUGAUAUAAAAACCCACCUACCCUGGGCACGUGAUCGAAUGGUUGAGAUGCACUUUUGGAUGAUGGGAGUUUUCUUUGAGCCCCAUUAUUCAUAUCCAAGAACCGUGCUUACAAAGUUGAUUACCCUUGUGUCGGUUUUUGAUGACUUCUAUGACAACUAUAGCACCGCACAAGAAAGCACGAUGUUUACUUCAGCAAUUGACAGGUGGGACGAGCAUGCAGCUGAGCAAGUCCCAACAUACAUGAGGCCGUUCUACAAGGGCACCGUUUCCACCAUAAACUGCAUUGAAGAGGACUUGAAACUUCAGAAAAAUAAGCAUGCUGAAUUAUCGACACUGCAAAUGGCUAUAAUGCUGAAGAAAUGGCGUGAUCAACAAUACGUCCCAUCUAACCUUGAAGAGCACCUACAAAUAUCUGUUCGUAGCAGCGGAUGUAUGCACAUAUCAAACCUUGCAUUCCUAUUAAUGGGAGAUGUCACGCCCAGUGAGACUGUACAAUGGACUUGGACAUACCCAAGAAUCAUCAGAGCCAUAUGCAUAAUCGGCCGUGUUAUGAACGACAUUACAUCCCAUGAGCGGGAACAAGCUUCGCAGCACGUGGUAUCUACUGUGCAGACCUACAUAAAGGAGAAUGGGUGCACAGUGCAGCAGGCAAACGAAGGGCUUAACCAGAUAGUUGAAGAAGCAUGGAUGGAUAUCAAUGAAGGAUUCAUGCAGCCGACGGCUCAUCCAUUCGCAGUCUUGUCAAGAGCAGUCAAUCUCGCAAGGACGAUGGAUUUCAUGUACAAGCGUGAAGAUGCAUACACCACCUCCGAGUCGCUCAAAGAUACUUUGGACUCUCUAUACAUUCUCCCGAUUGAUGUUUGA
rnacentral:rRNA from 1 species